UACGUAGGGUGCAGGCGUUAAUCGGAAUUACUGGGCGUAAAGGGCGCGUAGGCGGCCUUCUAAGUCGAACGUGAAAUCCCCGGGCUCAACCCGGGAACUGCGUCCGAUACUGGAAGGCUUGAAUCCGGGAGAGGGAUGCGGAAUUCCAGGUGUAGCGGUGAAAUGCGUAGAUAUCUGGAGGAACACCGGUGGCGAAGGCGGGACUCUGGGCCGAUACUGACGCUGAGGAGCGAAAGCGUGGGGAGCGAACAGG
rnacentral:rRNA from 1 species